CUAUUCCUGCUGUCUCUACCCAUGCUAAAGGAAAGGCUUGUAGCCAUUUGUCCAUUCCUGGUUGUAUCUGACUCUUGGUUCAUAUAGGCGAUAUUCAUCAUCCAAUUUUAGGGUAAGUGGAUAGGCUUUCCUUCAAGGCCUUUAAUUUGUGGCCCCUCAGGAGAAAAUGAUUUUGGGCCCUCAUCUUGGAUAAUAAAUCUCAACCUAGCAGCGGGUAGGGGAGUCUGGAAUGACCAUGAGAGUGGGAUACCCAUCCUAGUGGGAUACCUAGAUCCACAGAUCUAUGGGUAGUCCAUGAGUAUUGUUUAGUACCAGUAGCCCCUGGCACCCAGGACCUCUUAUUUGAUAAAGGGCCCUCUCCGUAUGGAGUAGCACCAAGUGUUGGGCCCCAGUGUCUACCCAAAAUUGAGUGGGUUGCCCCUCCGCUUUCAGAGUUACCGUGGGCUCAGGGAGGGGCUCCGAGCCCUGGCCUCCCUAGUCUUCAUCUUCCUCCAGGGGCAAGGUUAAUACCUUGGGGCAAACCCCUGGCCCUCCCAUCUACAGAUGUUCCCAUGAGGCCCUGCCCUCACGGCUUUUUGUUGGGGCAGUCACAAGCCCAGUGGCCCAUCUCCUUACAGUACGCACACUGGUUCUUUCAGCGGGGCUCUCUCUUUGGUUUCAGUUUCCCUUCGAGUUUCUUUUACGAUUGUGGCCAGGCUCCGUUGGUUCGCACAGGUUUCUUUGACUACACUGGCCAGGAUCUGUUGGAGGUUUUUAUUUUGCCUUUUUUCUUUUUCCAUGCCCCUUUUUUUCCUGUUCCCUUUCUUUUCUUUCCUCUUUUUCUUCCUCAGUCUCUCUCUGGUUAAACACCCACUUUGCUAUUUGCACUAAUUCCCUCAGCGUCCUAUCCUGUAAUCCAUCUAUCUUUUGUAACUUCUUACGAAUAUCCUUACUGGACUGUUCUAUAAAGGCCAUAGCUACAUUGGCCGAUAAUCUUCCUUUUCAGUGUCAUAUGGAGUGAACUGUCUAAAAGCCUCCACGAGUCACUCCAUGAACGCUGAUGGGGACUCACUGGGGCCUUGCCUAAUUUCCCUUACCUUGGCCAAAUUGGUGGGCUUCCUCACAGCCCCUUUGAGACCUGCCAACGGAGCCUGGUGAUAAACUUUGAGGUGCCCCCUACCUUCAGCAGUAUUGAAGUCCCAUUUGGGUCUUUUGAGAGGGAAGGCCUCCUUAAUGGUGGUGGGAUUCUGGGUUGGGGUCCCGUUGUCCCCUGGUACAUUUUUCCAGGUCUCCAACAGGAUCCGUUCCCGUUCCUCAGUGGUAAACAGCACCUGUAGCAACUGCUGACAAUCUUCCCGGGUGAGCUGGUGCCCAGUCCAGUGAGUCCUGCCCCAGACAUAUAGUGGAUAUCUGAUCUUUAAGGAAACCAGAUCCAGCUAGGUCAUGAGCCCUGUGGCAGGGGACAGGGAAUAAUUUCCAGAGAAGAUGCUGACCAAUAAAUCUUCAGGACAUUCGGAGGAAUCGAGUGGUUAUGUGGAGUCUGUUCUUGGACUACUUCUUCCUGAGUCUGUGUGCAGGUGCACACACAUUUUAAGUCCUCAGGGGAGACGUUAACUGCAUAUUCAGAAUCUCCCUCAGGGGUUCUGGUUCCUGAGGAAAUCCACGUGUGCCAACAACUCUCUAAUCAAGUGGCUGACAGCAAGCCUGUUCCCAACUGGAGCCUGUGUGUGCUGAGCUGUGGUUGGUUCUCUAGCCAAAGCUCAAGAAGCUUUUUCCUGUCGUGACCCUUCCUUCAGCUGAAAUUCAGAUACUAGAUGAGACUCUGAUGUCAUCAUUACCCCUACCUCUAAAAGCUGUGGUACUUAGUGCCUCCACCCCCACCCCACUUUUCUUAGAAACAGGCAUCUCUGACAUUAGUGCCUGGGGUCGCAUCUGUCCCCAGAGUCCCACAAAGCCAUUCUACCUCCCUCACAACCCAUCUGCUUGUGCCUUCUAGGGGUGCCAACUGGCUUAAGAAAAGGGAACAUUAAGGAUCUGGAGAGAUGGCUCAGAGGUUAAGAGCACUGGCUGUUCUUCCAGAGGUUGUGAGUUCAAUUCCCAGCAACCACAUGGUGGCUCAAACCAUCUAUAAUGAGAUCUGGUGCCCUCUUCUGGCAUGCAGGUGUACAUGCAGGCAGAACACUGUACACAUAAUAAAUAAAUAAAUUUAUCUUAAAAAAAAAA